rnacentral:rRNA from 1 species
UACGUAGGGUGCGAGCGUUAAUCGGAAUUACUGGGCGUAAAGCGUGCGCAGGCGGUUUUGUAAGCCAGAUGUGAAAUCCCCGGGCUUAACCUGGGAAUGGCGUUUGGGACUGGGAGUCUGGAGUGCGGCAGAGGAGACUGGAAUUCCUGGUGUAGCAGUGAAAUGCGUAGAUAUCAGGAGGAACACCGAUGGCGAAGGCAGGUCUCUGGGCUGACACUGACGCUCAUGCACGAAAGCGUGGGGAGCAAACAGG